AACCUCUCAGAGGUUAAGUGCAGAGCGCAAAGGCCGGACGGAGCAGAAAAGGCAAAGUAGUUCCUCCUUAUCCGCGGUCCGGCUUUCGCGGCUUCAGCUUGGCAGCUGCCAAAGACCGCAGGGCUGUCAACCACGCCUACGAGCAGAGACUCCUCCUCCUGACCUUGCGUCAGAAGGUCAAUAGUAGCCGGGUGCGCCGGCUCCACGCCACGCCACGCCACGCCACGCCACGCCACGCCACGCCACGCCACGCCACGCCACGCCACGUCACAGGCUGACGAUAGGACUCAGCGGUGCUUGGUUCCUCGCUCCCUCUCCUGGAGAGGCGUUUUGUCAUCUCGCAGCGCCACGAGGAAAGGGGUGACUCCCAGACAUGGCUCAGAGCCGGUUCCGGUUCCUGGCUUCCUCUCCAUCUCUAGGAAUGCAGCUUUCCUGUGGUGUCGGUCGUUGGUACCUGUCCCUCCGAGGCCAUGAAUUACCUGUCGAAACCAUGGAAGAAUCUGGAAGUAUUUGCACACCGCAGGUCACUCAAAGGUCCAGUGGGGAAUGGACACCAAGAUUGACAAAUGCUGUUAAAUGAAAUAUGUAUUUUCACGUGUCAGUAAGGUGACUCAGCGCAUUUUUUAACGUAAUAAGAAAAAAUAAAAAAAACCCCUCCCUAAUGAACAGAAGCCAAAACAAUACUAGUGUCGAGUCAAAAUGAAGGAAGUGGAAAUAGGUCUCUUCAGAAUCGUCCUGCCAUUAUGUGUUGACACCAGCAUAAUUUCACAGGGGACUCAGGCAUCAUGCUAAAGUUUUUUUGCCAAUUGUGCUACAGAAAAGGAUUCAUCAGUUUUAUUUUCAGGCAAGAGACACCUUUAGAAAACAGAAAUGUGAUCCAAACUGGUGAGAAACACCUCAUAUUUCGACUGGGGUUGCACAUCGGAAAGACUCUCAAAAACAAUGAAAAGAGUUGUCUUGCUUGUGGAGGCCGACUCCUUUGGAGGCCGACUCUGCAUGGGACGCGGGACCUCUCUAGGAUGCAUCUUGUGGAGCCCUGAGAGGUGGAUGAAGGGGUGCCAGUGGAAGGAAAGGCACCCUCUCCACCUGCUUGCAGAGGAGUGUGUAAACAAGAGAGAACGUCACCUUGUAGUGCCAUCAACCGUAGAAAGGGAAGCGUCCUGAGAAAAACCAGUUCUGGCACAGGAUCUGCUUUGAUGACUGGGGAAGUCCUGAGGUUGACUGUGAGCACGCUGGGGACACUCGGUUACACGUGAUCCCAGCAGGGCGUGUGUGCCAUGGCCUCAACUUGAUUCUUGAUGACAUCAUGAAGCCGGCCUUUCACCAGAGGAUUCCAAGAAGAGCCACAAUAUUGUGAAACGUGCAGGAGCCAUUCAGGGCUGCCGUCUUCAAGGAGAAGCCUGGGGAAAAACACGCAAAGAACUAAAUCAAGUCACUGAAGCCGUGUUGCACAACCAUUGAUCAGAGUGGAUUAUCUGUUCUGUGGCGAUAUUUUGAGAAAAUGGAAGCAGCCCUUCAAGUAAAUGCCAUAUUUGAGACGGA